rnacentral:rRNA from 1 species
AUUGAACGCUGGCGGCAUGCUUUACACAUGCAAGUCGGACGGCAGCACAGAGAAGCUUGCUUCUUGGGUGGCGAGUGGCGAACGGGUGAGUAAUAUAUCGGAACGUACCGAGCAGUGGGGGAUAACUAAUCGAAAGAUUAGCUAAUACCGCAUAUUUUCUGAGGAAGAAAGCAGGGGACCAUUUGGCCUUGCGCUGUUUGAGCGGCCGAUAUCUGAUUAGCUAGUUGGUGGGGUAAAGGCCUACCAAGGCGACGAUCAGUAGCGGGUCUGAGAGGAUGAUCCGCCACACUGGGACUGAGACACGGCCCAGACUCCUACGGGAGGCAGCAGUGGGGAAUUUUGGACAAUGGGCGCAAGCCUGAUCCAGCCAUGCCGCGUGUCUGAAGAAGGGCUUCGGGUUGUAAAGGACUUUUGUCAGGGAAGAAAAGGGCGGGGUUAAUACCCCUGUCUGAUGACGUACCUGAAGAA